UCCGAAUUGGUGUAAUGGUUAACAUCUGUCGCUCUCAUGGUUCAUGACCAUCAGACCCGACAAGCUCGGGGUUCGAUUCCCCGAUUCGGAG